UACAGAGGUCUCAAGCGUUGUCCGGAAUCAUUGGGCGUAAAGCGCGCGUAGGCGGCCCGGUAAGUCCGCUGUGAAAGUCAAAGGCUCAACCUUUGAAUGUCAGCGGAUACUGCCGGGCUAGAGUCCGGAAGAGGCGAGUGGAACUCCUGGUGUAGCGGUGGGAUGCGCAGAUAUCAGGAAGAACACCAACGGCGAAGGCAGCUCGCUGGGACGGAACUGACGCUGAGGCGCGAAAGCGUGGGGAGCGAACAGG
rnacentral:rRNA from 1 species